CACAGAAGUACAGGACUUUUGUUCAGAUAUUUAUUAUGACAUUGAAAUGUCUCCAAAGCAAAAAGAGAUCUUUUCAGAAUACCAAAGUCUCUUGCACAAACCCCAAAAGAGCUUGGUCCGACCAAUCAGCAGCCGGUUUCUACAGAUGCUUGAUGUAUGCAACAGGGUGAAUGAAGUCAUGGAUGCCUUGGUUGUCUAUUACUACCAUCUUAUUCCACCAGAUGAAGAACAUAACUACAGAUGGUUGCUAGCUGAAGUACUGGAGAGAAAUGCAGUGUCAGUUGAGGAAAGGGCAAGAAUAAAAUUUUUGCAACAGCAACAAGCCAAAGCCUACCGAACAGGCAAGCAAAGACAGGAAGUCACGAUUAUUAGUGCUUUUUACAGACCAUGAAAGAUUGAGAGUAGUGAUCGACAUCUUCAGAGGAGUUCUCCCAACAUUCCAAAGUUUCCUCAAAAAACUUCAAUAUGAGAAACCAAUGGUGCACUUACUUCACAGAGAUGGUGGCUUUGGUUAGAGAGCUGCUCAGUAAGUUCGUGAAGCCUGAGUCCAUUGGCCUAAGUGCAAAAGACAUCCUAAAGGUCGAUGUUCAUUGCAUAGACUUGCACUUGUCGGACAAAAGGCUCUCUGUUGGACAAUUCUGCUUCUCUAAACUGAACAAAGCACGAUUAGAGAAAAAGCUAUGGGUUCCAAGUAUCUAUUCUAGUCUGAGAGAAGGAUACAUCAGAGCAGCAGCAUUUCCGCUAAAAACCUUCCACUGAAUAAUAAAAUAAUCACAUCACUGUCAGCACUCAGUCCAGCUUUAUUGCAGGAGGACUCAGUUUGCACUGCAUUUCUUACAUUAGG